UACGUAGGUGGCUAGCGUUGUCCGGAUUUACUGGGCGUAAAGAGCGCGCAGGCGGUCGUUCAAGUCGAGUGUGAAAGCCCCCGGCUCAACUGGGGAGGGUCACUCGAUACUGAUCGACUUGAAGGCGGGAGAGGGAAGCGGAAUUCCAGGUGUAGCGGUGAAAUGCGUAGAUAUCUGGAGGAACACCGGUGGCGAAGGCGGCAUCCUGGACCGAUACUGACGCUGAGGAGCGAAAGCCAGGGGAGCAAACGGG
rnacentral:rRNA from 1 species